rnacentral:lncRNA from 1 species
AGGAGUCUAGCAGACAACCUGAGCUGCAAGAUGUCUCCCAUCCCUCUGAUAUUUAUCUUUGGUGGUGUGCUCAUCAUCUGCCUGAUGCAACAAUACCUGGCGUAUAAGUCUUCUAAGAACGUCGUUAAAGUCUUCUGCCAUCAAGCCAAUGAUGUGAGUGCUGGGGCUCUCUGGUGGGUGGAAAUAUGUUUGCUAAGAGGGUAGGUCUCUAGAAGGGACUUCCUGUUUUUGGCUUCCUGCCUAGAGUAAGGAGGAAUCGCACAGUGUCUGAAUCCUACAGGUUUGCACAUCUUUUUUGCAUCCUUAUUACUAAGCCUUGCUGUCUCUAUAUUCCCUAGGUACAUAUAUACCAGACCCAGGUCGUCAUGACAAACACACUGGAAACCUCAAGUGGAAAAAGCCACCCACUGGGUCGUUCAGGAGAGAUCCAGUCUUUAAAGAAGCAAAACUAGAGACCAAAAUAAGUCCUCUUCCUUCUAGAUGUGCAUCAUCUGCUUCUUCCUUCCCUAGAAGACUGAGGGAGCUAUCUUUCACAGAGUGUAUUCAGUGGUAUACGUGGAGCUCAGAAGUAGACACUUGCCUUGCCUCUAUUAGGACUUGAUUGAACCCAAAUACCACAAAAUUCUUUCUCUCUGCUGAGAAAAUGGAAAUUUAAGAUGGGAACCAAGCACUGUGUGGUCAACAUCCAUGAGCAUGGUUUAAUAUACAUACCAUGUGCUUGUUUUUCUGCUUGUGAACUUGUGAGAUAGAAAAACUCCCAAGUCAUCCACUUUUACUUGUUAUCAUUCAGUCACAUAAUAAAUUUCGAUUGUGCACUUGA